AGUCGUAACAAGGUUUCCGUAGGUGAACCUGCGGAAGGAUCAUUAAAGAAAUUUAAUAAUUUUGAAAAUGGAUUUUUUUGUUUUGGCAAGAGCAUGAGAGCUUUUACUGGGCAAGAAGACAAGAGAUGGAGAGUCCAGCCGGGCCUGCGCUUAAGUGCGCGGUCUUGCUAGGCUUGUAAGUUUCUUUCUUGCUAUUCCAAACGGUGAGAGAUUUCUGUGCUUUUGUUAUAGGACAAUUAAAACCGUUUCAAUACAACACACUGUGGAGUUUUCAUAUCUUUGCAACUUUUUCUUUGGGCAUUCGAGCAAUCGGGGCCCAGAGGUAACAAACACAAACAAUUUUAUCUAUUCAUUAAAUUUUUGUCAAAAACAAGAAUUUUCGUAACUGGAAAUUUUAAAAUAUUAAAAACUUUCAACAACGGAUCUCUUGGUUCUCGCAUCGAUGAAGAACGCAGCGAAAUGCGAUACGUAAUGUGAAUUGCAGAAUUCCGUGAAUCAUCGAAUCUUUGAACGCACAUUGCGCCCCUUGGUAUUCCAGGGGGCAUGCCUGUUUGAGCGUCAUUUCCUUCUCAAACAUUCUGUUUGGUAGUGAGUGAUACUCUUUGGAGUUAACUUGAAAUUGCUGGCCUUUUCAUUGGAUGUUUUUUUUCCAAAGAGAGGUUUCUCUGCGUGCUUGAGGUAUAAUGCAAGUACGGUCGUUUUAGGUUUUACCAACUGCGGCUAAUCUUUUUUUAUACUGAGCGUAUUGGAACGUUAUCGAUAAGAAGAGAGCGUCUAGGCGAACAAUGUUCUUAAAGUUUGACCUNCAAUCAGGUAGGAGUACCCGCUGAACUUAAGCAUAUCAAUAAGC
rnacentral:rRNA from 1 species